rnacentral:rRNA from 1 species
GAUGAACGCUGGCGGCGUGCCUAAUACAUGCAAGUCGAGCGAACAGACGAGGAGCUUGCUCCUCUGACGUUAGCGGCGGACGGGCGAGUAACACGUGGAUAACCUACCUAUAAGACUGGGAUAACUUCGGGAAACCGGAGCUAAUACCGGAUAAUAUAUUGAACCGCAUGGUUCAAUAGUGAAAGACGGUUUUGCUGUCACUUAUAGAUGGAUCCGCGCCGCAUUAGCUAGUUGGUAAGGUAACGGCUUACCAAGGCGACGAUGCGUAGCCGACCUGAGAGGGUGAUCGGCCACACUGGAACUGAGACACGGUCCAGACUCCUACGGGAGGCAGCAGUAGGGAAUCUUCCGCAAUGGGCGAAAGCCUGACGGAGCAACGCCGCGUGAGUUAUGAAGGUCUUCGGAUCGUAAAACUCUGUUAUUAGGGAAGAACAAAUGUGUAAGUAACUAUGCACGUCUUGACGGUACCUAAUCAGAAAGCCACGGCUAACUACGUG